GACGAACGCUGGCGGCAGGCUUAACACAUGCAAGUCGAACGAGUGGCGGACGGGUGAGUAAUGCUUGGGAAUCUAGCUUAUGGAGGGGGAUAACUACGGGAAACUGUAGCUAAUACCGCGUACCAUAGGAUGAGCCCAAGUGGGAUUAGGUAGUUGGUGAGUUAAAGGCUCACCCAGCCGACGAUCUCUAGCUGGUCUGAGAGGAUGACCAGCAACAAUGGGACUGAGACACGGCCCAGACUCCGACGGGAGGCAGCAGUGGGGAAUAGUGCGCAAUGGGGGCAACCUGACGCAGCAAUGCCGCGUGAAUGAAGAAGGCCUUCGGGUUGUAAAGUUCUUUCGGUAGCGAGGCGUUAACUACAGAAGAAGCACCGGCGAACUCCGUGCCAGCAGCCGCGGUAAUUC
rnacentral:rRNA from 1 species